CUACGGGCGGCUCCAGUGGGGAAUAUUGCACAAUGGGCGAAAGCCUGAUGCAGCAACGCCGCGUGAGCGAUGAAGGCCUUCGGGUCGUAAAGCUCUGUCCUCAAGGAAGAUAAUGACGGUACUUGAGGAGGAAGCCCCGGCUAACUACGUGCCAGCAGCCGCGGUAAUACGUAGGGGGCUAGCGUUAUCCGGAAUUACUGGGCGUAAAGGGUGCGUAGGUGGUUUCUUAAGUCAGAGGUGAAAGGCUACGGCUCAACCGUAGUAAGCCUUUGAAACUGAGAAACUUGAGUGCAGGAGAGGAGAGUAGAAUUCCUAGUGUAGCGGUGAAAUGCGUAGAUAUUAGGAGGAAUACCAGUUGCGAAGGCGGCUCUCUGGACUGUAACUGACACUGAGGCACGAAAGCGUGGGGAGCAAACAGGAUUAGAUACCCGCGUAGUC
rnacentral:rRNA from 1 species